rnacentral:rRNA from 1 species
AUGAAGGAAAAUAAGAGGCUGCACGGCGGCAUAUUUGGUAUGCUGACCGGCCGUCCCAAAGAGGAGAUGUCCGGAAUCUCGGGCGAUCUGCUACAAGAGCUGUCGCAAAUGCACGAGCAAGCUCGGCAGUCGAUGCGAAGUAUUGCCAAGGCUUUAUGGCCAUCCGCCUCCCCUCCAGGAAGGAUGGAGGAGAUUAUACAACUAUUCAAGGGAGCGCGGCGGCGCUUCCGAUUAUGGAAGAUAUCGGCCUGCCGGGAAGGUGCACGAGAAGCCUGGGCCAUGGUGAAAACACGGUAUACCAAGCUUCAUCCAAAUCAUAUGGCCCGGGUCGGACCUUGA